rnacentral:rRNA from 1 species
AUGCCUUCCAAGGUCACCCGAGCGCCUCAACCUGCUCUAUGUUAUGGAUCUGUACCCGCCGGCCACCACCAUCCAUGGCUCCUCUGCUAUUGGGACACCACAUCGUCCCAUCUCCUUUCUGGACAUCACCCUGCAACACCAACGCUUGGCCUGCUCCUCCACCACGGCCCUGCUCGGGACACGCCACCAUCGACGCCACCGUUGAGAAUCCACCCCAACUCGAGCAGUUCACCGGCGCCAUGGAGAAACACUAAGCUGCUACAUUGGAAAUACGAGGAACUUCAUCAGUGCAAGAAGUUGAUAUUCACUCAACGUUCAUCCAGAUCAGGAGUAGGAUUUAUGGUUCAUGAUCCAACUAAAAGAGAGGUGUAA